UUAGGAAUUUUGGGCAAUGGGCGCAAGCCUGACCCAGCAACGCCGCGUGGGGGACGGAGGCCUUCGGGUCGUAAACCCCUUUUCCCGGGGACGAUGGUGACGGUACCCGGGGAAGAAGGCCCGGCUAACUACGUGCCAGCAGCCGCGGUAAUACGUAGGGGCCCAGCGUUGUCCGGAUUUAUUGGGCGUAAAGCGCGCGCAGGCGGCCCGGCGAGUCGCCCGUGAAAUCCCCCGGCUCAACCGGGGGGGGUCGGGCGAGACAGGCGGGCUGGAGGCGGGUAGGGGGCAGCGGAAUUCCCGGUGUAGUGGUGGAAUGCGUAGAGAUCGGGAGGAACACCAGUGGCGAAGGCGGCUGCCUGGACCCUUGCCUGACGCUGAGGCGCGAAAGCGUGGGGAGCGAUCCGGAUUAGAUACCCGCGUAGUCC
rnacentral:rRNA from 1 species